rnacentral:rRNA from 1 species
CUCAGGAUGAACGCUGACAGAAUGCUUAACACAUGCAAGUCAACUUGAAUUUGGGUUUUUAACUUAGAUUUGGGUGGCGGACGGGUGAGUAGCGCGUAAAGAACUUGCCUCACAGCUAGGGACAACAUUUAAAAAUGAAUGCUAAUACCUGAUAUUAUGAUUUCAAGGCAUCUUACAAUUAUGAAAGCUAUAUGCACUGUGAGAGAGCUUUGCGUCCCAUUACCUAGUUGGACAGGUAACAGCUCACCAACGCGAUGAUGGGUAUCCGGCCUGAGAGGGUGACCGGCCACAAGGGGACUGAAACACCGCCCUUACCCCUAC